rnacentral:rRNA from 1 species
GACGAACGCUGGCGGCACGCCUAACACAUGCAAGUCGAACGGACUUACAAGAGCUUGCUUUUUUAAGUUAGUGGCGGACGGGUGAGUAACACGUGAGCAACCUGCCUCUGAGAGGGGGAUAGCUUCUGGAAACGGAUGGUAAUACCCCAUAAAAUAUAAAUAUCGCAUGAUAGAUAUAUCAAAGAAAUUCGCUCAGAGAUGGGCUCGCGUCUGAUUAGAUAGUUGGUGAGGUAACGGCUCACCAAGUCGACGAUCAGUAGCCGGACUGAGAGGUUGAACGGCCACAUUGGGACUGAGACACGGCCCAGACUCCUACGGGAAGCAGCAGUGGGGAAUAUUGCACAAUGGAGGGAACUCUGAUGCAGCGAUGCCGCGUGGAGGAAGAAGGUUUUCGGAUUGUAAACUCCUUUUAUCAGGGACGAUAAUGACGGUACCUGAAGAAAAAGCUCCGGCUAACUACGUG